GAAUCUUGGACAAUGGGGGCAACCCUGAUCCAGCGACGCCGCGUGGGUGAUGAAGGCCUUCGGGUUGUAAAGCCCUUUCACCGGGGACGAUGAUGACGGUACCCGGAGAAGAAGCCCCGGCUCACUCCGUGCCAGCCGCCGCGGUAAUACGGAGGGGGCUAGCGUUGUUCGGAAUUACUGGGCGUAAAGGGCGCGCAGGCGGCUGCCCAAGUCAGGCGUGAAAGGCCUGGGCUCAACCCGGGAAUUGCGCUUGAGACUGGGCUGGCUUGAGUGCGGGAGAGGAUGGUGGAAUUCCCAGUGUAGAGGUGAAAUUCGUAGAUAUUGGGAAGAACACCGGUGGCGAAGGCGGCCAUCUGGACCGCAACUGACGCUGAGGCGCGAAAGCGUGGGGAGCAAACAGG
rnacentral:rRNA from 1 species